ensembl:lncRNA
CAGCACCACGAUCAAGGUAGAUGCGUCCGAGGUUGGGGUGGGGACGGUCCUCUCCCAGCAGCACGGGACUCAUCCCAGGCUCCAACCGUGUGCGUACUUCUCCAAGAAACUGACUGCUGCGGAGAGGAACGUGGGUGUCUGUGAGCUACUGGCGGUGGAGACAGUGGCUUGAGGGUGCCCGGGAGCCAUUCACAGUCCUGACAGAACACCAGAACCUCGAAUACAUCAUGGCUGCAUGGCUCCUCAACUCUCGGCAGGCCAGAUGGACCCUGUUCUUCGAGCGCUUCCAGUUCACCUUGAGGGACCAACCGGGUACAAAGAAUGUCCGAGCGGACGCAGUCUUGCACCUACUCGACCGGGGGUCAGAACUGCCUAGGGAUACGCCCAUCCUGCACCCCUCCUGGAUUGUGGGUCCCGUCUCCUGUGACAUUGACACAGGCAUCCAGCAGGUCUUUCCGGCUGUAUGGACUUCCAGAGGACAUUGUCUCCGACUGCGGCCCCCAGUUCAGGUCUCGAGUGUGGACAGCCUUCAUGUCCAGGAUGGGGGUUGCAGUCAGCCUCUGCAUUAUGGACAUGUUAUCCUCGGACCUCACCACAGUUUGCAUACAGUACUAUUACAUCUGCCCCUCUUAUCUCGCUACUCUCAGUGAAACAAUGCAUACCAUAACACAUCAAUAAGCAAAAGUUUAAAUUAACACACUGUUUCCUGUGAAACUGGCCUUCUCAUUUCCUAUUAAGUCUAGGUCAAGGCUGAACAACAGUGGAGGACUACCACAUGAGGCCCUGACGCAAAGAGACUAAGCCUAUAGACAACAGUCAACACUGGACAGCCAUG